rnacentral:rRNA from 1 species
AACGAACGCUGGCGGCAUGCCUAACAAAUGCAAGUCGAACGAAGCCUUCGGGCUUAGUGGCGCACGGGUGCGUAACGCGUGGGAAUCUGCCCUUAGGUUCGGAAUAACUCAGGGAAACUUGAGCUAAUACCGCAUAAUGACUCCGGUCCAAAGAUUUAUCGCCUAAGGAUGAGCCCGCGUCGGAUUAGCUAGUUGGUGAGGUAAAAGCUCACCAAGUCGACGAUCCGUAGCUGGUCUGAGAGGAUGAUCAGCCACACUGGAACUGAGACACGGCCCAGACUCCUACGGGAGGCAGCAGUGAGGAAUAUUGGACAAUGGGCGAAAGCCUGAUCCAGCAAUGCCGCGUGAGUGAUGAAGGCCUUAGGGUUGUAAAGCUCGUUUACCCGGGAUGAUAAUGACAGUACCGGGAGAAUAAGCCCCGGCUAACUCCGUGCCAGCAGCCGCAGUAA